UACGUAGGGGGCAAGCGUUGUCCGGAUUUAUUGGGCGUAAAGAGCGUGUAGGCGGUUCGGUAGGUCCGUUGUGAAAACUCGAGGCUCAACCUCAAGAGGUCGGUGGAAACCAUCUGGCUAGAGUCCGGAAGAGGAGAGUGGAAUUCCCGGUGUAGCGGUGAAAUGCGCAGAUAUCGGGAAGAACACCCGUGGCGAAGGCGGCUCUCUGGGACGGUACUGACGCUGAGACGCGAAAGCGUGGGGAGCGAACAGG
rnacentral:rRNA from 1 species